rnacentral:RNase_P_RNA from 1 species
ACACUUAGGCAAUCGCUGAUAGUAAUCUAUUAGAGGAAAGUCCAUGCUCGCAUAAUCUGAGAUGAUUAUAGUGUUUGUGCUAACUUAAAAAAUAAGGUUAGACAGGGUAACCUGAUGGCUGCAAGUGAUUCUAAGGUUUUAUAACUAUGAAAAACUGCUAUAAAAGUGUCAAAGAGACGAUAAGCUAGGAAACUGGUGAUGUGGAACGUGAUAAACCCCACAAGCGAGAAACCCAAAUUUGGUAGGGGAACUUAAAAUAUUGAAAUGAAAAUAGUUUAGGACACAGUAAUGUGUAGAUAAAUGAUUGCCACCUUCGUGGUACAGAACAUGGCUUAUAAAG